GACGAACGCUGGCGGCGUGCCUAAUACAUGCAAGUAGAACGCUGAAGGAGGAGCUUGCUUCUCUGGAUGAGUUGCGAACGGGUGAGUAACGCGUAGGUAACCUGCCUGGUAGCGGGGGAUAACUAUUGGAAACGAUAGCUAAUACCGCAUAAUAGCAGUUAUUGCAUGAUAACUGUUUGAAAGGUGCAAUUGCACCACUACCAGAUGGACCUGCGUUGUAUUAGCUAGUUGGUGGGGUAACGGCUCACCAAGGCGACGAUACAUAGCCGACCUGAGAGGGUGAUCGGCCACACUGGGACUGAGACACGGCCCAGACUCCUACGGGAGGCAGCAGUAGGGAAUCUUCGGCAAUAGACGGAAGUCUGACCGAGCAACGCCGCGUGAGUGAAGAAGGUUUUCGGAUCGUAAAGCUCUGUUGCAAGAGAAGAACGAGUGUGAGAGUGGAAAGUUCACACUGUGACGGUAUCUUACCAGAAAGGGACGGCUAACUACGUG
rnacentral:rRNA from 1 species